rnacentral:rRNA from 1 species
GAUGAACGCUGGCUACAGGCUUAACACAUGCAAGUCGAGGGGAAACGCCGGGGAAGCUUGCUUCCCCGGGCGUCGACCGGCGCACGGGUGAGUAACGCGUAUCCAACCUGCCUCUGACUGAGGGAUAACCCGUCGAAAGUCGGCCUAAUACCUCAUGGCAUCGUCUGCGGGCAUCCAACGACGAUUAAAGAUUUCAUCGGUCAGAGAUGGGGAUGCGUCUGAUUAGCUUGUUGGCGGGGUAACGGCCCACCAAGGCGACGAUCAGUAGGGGUUCUGAGAGGAAGGUCCCCCACAUUGGAACUGAGACACGGGCCAAACUCCUACGGGAGGCAGCAGUGAGGAAUAUUGGUCAAUGGGCGAGAGCCUGAACCAGCCAAGUAGCGUGCAGGAUGACGGCCCUAUGGGUGGUAAACUGCUUUUAUGCGGGGAUAAAGUGAGGGACGUGUCCUUCAUUGCAGGUACCGCAUGAAUAAGGACCGGCUAAUUCCGUG